rnacentral:rRNA from 1 species
GAUGAACGCUGGCGGCGUGCUUAGCACAUGCAAGUCGAACGGUGAAGCAGGAGCUUGCUCCUGUGGAUCAGUGGCGAACGGGUGAGUAACACGUGAGCAAUCUGCCCUGGACUCUGGGAUAAGCGUUGGAAACGACGUCUAAUACCGGAUACGAGGCGUGGGGGCAUCCCCAACGCCUGGAAAGAACUUCGGUCCAGGAUGAGCUCGCGGCCUAUCGGGUAGUUGGUGAGGUAACGGCUCACCAAGCCUACGACGGGUAGCCGGCCUGAGAGGGUGACCGGCCACCCUGGGACUGAGACACGGCCCAGACGCCGACGGGAGGCAGCAGUGGGGAAUAUUGCACAAUGGGCGCAAGCCUGAUGCAGCAACGCCGCGUGAGGGACGACGGCCUUCGGGUUGUAAACCUCUUUUAGCAGGGAAGAAGCGAAAGUGACGGUACCUGCAGAAAAAGCACCGGCUAACUACGUGCCAGCCGCCGCCGUAAAAC